UACGUAGGGUGCAAGCGUUAAUCGGAAUUACUGGGCGUAAAGCGUGCGUAGACGGCUAUUUAAGUCGGGUGUGAAAGCCCCGGGCUCAACCUGGGAAUUGCAUUCGAGACUGAGUAGCUAGGGUGCGGUAGAGGGAAGCGGAAUUUCCGGUGUAGCGGUGAAAUGCGUAGAUAUCGGAAGGAACAUCAGUGGCGAAAGCGGCUUCCUGGACCAGCACCGACGUUCAGGCACGAAAGCGUGGGGAGCAAACAGG
rnacentral:rRNA from 1 species